CCGUCAAUUCAUUUGAGUUUUAACCUUGCGGCCGUACUCCCCAGGCGGUCGAUUUAACGCGUUAGCUCCAGAAGCCACGGUUCAAGACCACAACCUCUAAAUCGACAUCGUUUACAGCGUGGACUACCAGGGUAUCUAAUCCUGUUUGCUCCCCACGCUUUCGCACCUGAGCGUCAGUCUUUGUCCAGGGGGCCGCCUUCGCCACCGGUAUUCCUCCACAUCUCUACGCAUUUCACCGCUACACAUGGAAUUCUACCCCCCUCUACAAGACUCUAGCCAACCAGUUUCAGAUGCAAUUCCCAAGUUAAGCUCGGGGCUUUCACAUCUGACUUAAUUGACCGCCUGCGUGCGCUUUACGCCCAGUAAUUCCGAUUAACGCUUGCACCCUCCGUAUUACCGC
rnacentral:misc_RNA from 1 species